UAAGUAGCUCAGUGGACAGAGCACUUGCCUCAUAAGCAAGAAACCCUGGGUUCAAUUCCCAGCAGAGUAA